UUUUUUUUUUUUUUUUUUUUGAGGAUGGGACACAGAGCUUGGAGGGAUUUUCCAGCUUAAAUCCAUUCUGGGACUGUGCAAAAGCACCAAAAAUCAGGAGUGGCCAGACACCUGAUGUUUAAGAGAAUGCUCUAAACGUACCAGGGCAUCCCUAAAAACCCAGUCAGGCUAAAAAAAUGUAUCUGGAAUAUGACAGAUGAACCUUUUUUGGUCCAAAAUCAGUGGUAAAAUCCCAAAUUGAGCGGUAAAAUGAGGAAACAGUUUAUAUUGCAGUUUUCCAACAGGCAGCUGGAGAUCCAAGGGAGAUCCAAGGGAGGCUCUGGUGUUCUCCAACACUCCCAAAAAAACCUGGCGGAUUCCCAUUUUCCACUCACAGCACCCAAAAGUUCGAACUGAUCCUCUGGAAUCGGCUCCCUCUUGGCAAAAAGGAGCAAAAGGAGCGUGGAGAAACAUUCCCUUGGAAACAGAUGGAAUGCUCAGCUGAGCUGUGCUCACAGCAGGGGAAAAUGAGGGAAAAAUGAGGGAAAAAUGAGGGGAAAAUGAGGGAAAAAUGAGGGAAAAAUGAGGGAAAAACAUCUUCAUGGACACUGUCCAGCCUGCAGGAAUUCCUGCCCCUCACCACCCACAGCUCAUCCCAGGUGCUGCAGGCUCCAUGAGGGAGGAAUUCCCUCAUCCAUGGAGGAGAAAUUUCCUGAUCCAUGAAGGAGAAAUUCCCUGAUUCGUGAAGGAGGAAUUCCGUGAUUCAUUUAGGUGGAAUUUCCUGAUCCAUGAAGAGGAAUUCCUAAGCCAUGAAGGAGAAAUUCCUGAUCCAUGAAGGAGAAAUUCCUGAUCCAUGAAGGAGAAAUUCCCUGAUUCACGAUUCCCUGAUCCAUGAAGGAGGAAUUCCCUGAUCCAUGAAGGAGGAAUUUCUGAUCCAUAAAGGAGAAAUUCCCUGAUCCAUGAGGGAGGAAUUCCCUGAUCCAUGAAGGUGGAAUUUCCAUGAAGGAGGAAUUCCCUGAUCCAUGGAGGAAUUCCCUGAUCCAUGGAGGAGAAAUUCCUGAUCCAUGAAGGGGGAAUUUCCUGAUCCAUAAAGGAGAAAUUUCCUGAUCCAUGAGGGAAGAAUUCCCUGAUCCACGAAGGUGGAAUUUCCAUGAAGGAGGAAUUCCCUGAUCCAUGGAGGAAUUCCCUGAUCCAUGAAGGAGGAAUUCCUGAUCCAUGAAAGAGAAAUUCCUGAUCCAUGAAGGUGGAAUUUCCUGAUCCAUGGAGGAGGAAUUCCUGAUCCAUGAAGGACAAAUUCCCUGAGAAAUUUUCCUCCCCAAAAGCUCCAGCUGGAGCAUUCCCUGCUCUCCUCUCCGCUCCUCCUGGGUCUCUCCAGGCUGCUGGAACCUCCCUGAUCCCAAAUUUUCUUUGGGAGAGCAGCAGGAGGGGUCAAGGAGGUAAAAAUGCACAUUCCAGCUGUUUGUCUCCCGCAGAAAAUUCCCAUUUGUUCAAACGUGGACAGGGAAUGCAGCUGCGCUCUCCAACUCUGGAAUUUUGGAGGUAAAAAGAUCAAAGCACUGCGCUUUCAGUGAGGCUGAGAGGGGAAAAAAUCCCAGAAAAGCUGUGAAAUUCCCAUCCCCGGAGUGUUGGGAUGGUGGAAGGCGGCCCUGGAGCAGCUUGAAGGUCCCUCCCAGCCCAGAGCAUUCCCUGAAUCCAUGAUUCCAUGGAAUGAAGCUGGGAGCCACUGGCUUUAUUGAAAUAAUCCAAACAGAACAUGGAAAACAGAGGGAAGGAAUAGACAGGGCAUGAGGAAAAGCUGCUGGGGACACCUCUGGAAUUGCAGCUGGAGGGUUUUCCUGGGAUUCACUGCCCACCGAGGACAAAAUCCAGGUUUAAGGGCGCUCCCAGAGCCGAGUUUCUCCUGACAAAACCAGGAUUUGGUUGGGGAAACACUUCCAGAGAGGAGAUGUGAACAGAGCCAAGAACAACGGGGGAUUUUCUCUGGGCUGGGGGGGGUCUUGCCCAAAUUCCUACAAAUGACAAGAUGUGGAUGAGCCCUUUGGGAAAACAGGGGGAGGAGAAGAUCCCUGGCACUUGGGAGUAGAAUUCCAGCAGGAAAGGGAAGGUUCUCCAGGUUCCUGAGGUGACUCAAGACUCCCAGGAAUCUCCAUCCCUCCCAAAUCCCUGCAUCAGCCUGGAAUGUUUGGCUGAUUCCGAUGCUGAGGGGUUAUUUUGGGAUCUCAGGUGGGCUCUGGCAGCCUCCAGGGUUAAAUCCUGCCUGGAAAAGUGCUGGGAGAGGGAAGGAAGGAGGGAGGGAGCUGUCUGAUCCAAGGAAUGUUUGCAAAAAACUCCCAGCACAUCCAGUGAUUUCAAUAUAUUCACAUUUCCAUCCUUUGCCAUCAGCAUCCCACAAAAAGCAAGGCACGAGCUGGGAUAUUCCAAAGGCAGCAUCACCAGAUCCAUUUGGGAAUAAAUGGCUUCCUAAGAGAUGAUUCUCAAUCAAACCUUUUCCACUUGAUCUAAAAGCUGGGCCUAUUAGGAGAGAAAUGGGAAAGAUUGGUGCAUUGCCAUAAAAAAAUAAAAAACCAAAAAAUUGAUGUUCCAAUUGCACUGGAAAUGAAGAUGGAUUUGAUAAGAACAAAUCCAGGCCUGUUAUCAUUUCCCUCCUGGCAGGAGGGAA
ensembl:lncRNA